rnacentral:rRNA from 1 species
UACGUAGGGAGCAAGCGUUGUCCGGAAUCAUUGGGCGUAAAGCGCGCGUAGGUGGCCUCGUAAGUCCGCUGUGAAAGUCAAAGGCUCAACCUUUGAAAGCCGGUGGAUACUGUGAGGCUAGAGUACGGAAGAGGCCAGUGGAAUUCCUGGUGUAGCGGUGGAAUGCGCAGAUAUCAGGAGGAACACCAAUAGCGAAGGCAGCUCGCUGGGACGUAACUGACACUGAGGCGCGAAAGCGUGGGGAGCGAACAGG